rnacentral:rRNA from 1 species
UACGGAAGGGGCAAGCGUUGUUCGGAAUCAUUGGGCGUAAAGGGCGCGUAGGUGGUUCUGUAUGUCUACCGUGAAAGCGUACGGCUCAACCGUAUUUUGUCGGUGGAAACUGCAGGACUUGAGGCUGGGAGGGGCUGGUGGAAUUCCCUGUGUAGGGUGAAAUGCGUAGAGAUGGGGGAGAACACUCGUGGCGAAGGCGGCCAGCUAGACCAGUUCUGACACUGAGGCGCGACAGCGUGGGGAGCAAACAGG